UACGAAGGGGGCUAGCGUUGUUCGGAAUCACUGGGCGUAAAGGGCGCGUAGGCGGCUUUGUAAGUCGGGGGUGAAAGCCUGUGGCUCAACCACAGAAUUGCCUUCGAUACUGCAUGGCUUGAGACCGGAAGAGGUAAGUGGAACUGCGAGUGUAGAGGUGAAAUCGUAGAUAUUGGGAAGAACACCGGUGGCGAAGGCGGCUCACUGGCUCAUUACUGACGCUCAGGCGCGAUAGCGUGGGGAUCAAACAGG
rnacentral:rRNA from 1 species